rnacentral:lncRNA from 1 species
AGAAAAAGAAGAAGAAGAAGAAGAAGAAGAAGAAGAAGAAGAAGAAGAAGAAGAAGAAAAGGAAGAAAUGGAAGAAGAAGAAAAGGAAGAAGAGGAAAAAAAGAAUCGGCCAAAGUAGAAAAUGACACCCUGACACCCUGAGAAGAAGAAUUAGAAGAAGAAGAAGAAGAAGAAGAAGAAGAAGAAGAAGAAGAGGAGGAGAAGAAAAAAAUAAGAAGGAGAAGAAGAAGAAGAGAAGAAAAAAAUAA